rnacentral:rRNA from 1 species
UACGUAGGGAGCAAGCGUUGUCCGGAAUCAUUGGGCGUAAAGCGCGCGUAGGCGGCCACUGCAAGUCGGUUGUGAAAUCUCCGGGCUUAACCCGGAAAGGUCAACCGAUACUGCAGGGCUAGAGUGCGGAAGGGGCAACUGGAAUUCUCGGUGUAGCGGUGAAAUGCGUAGAUAUCGAGAGGAACACCUGCGGCGAAGGCGGGUUGCUGGGCCGACACUGACGCUGAUGCGCGAAAGCUAGGGGAGCGAACGGG